rnacentral:tRNA from 1 species
GCCUGGUUAGCAUAAAAGUAAUGUAGCUGUUUUGUAACCAGCUGAAGCAAGUGCGAUACUUGCAUUGGGCU